rnacentral:rRNA from 1 species
AGAGUUUGAUUCUGGCUCAGGAUGAACGCUAGCUACAGGCUUAACACAUGCAAGUCGAGGGGCAGCAUUGGAGUAGCAAUACUCAGAUGGCGACCGGCGCACGGGUGAGUAACACGUAUCCAACCUGCCGCUUACUCGGGGAUAGCCUUUCGAAAGAAAGAUUAAUACCCGAUGGUAUAAAGAGUUCGCAUGUUCUCUUUAUUAAAGAAUUUCGGUAAGCGAUGGGGAUGCGUUCCAUUAGAUAGUUGGCGGGGUAACGGCCCACCAAGUCUACGAUGGAUAGGGGUUCUGAGAGGAAGGUCCCCCACAUUGGAACUGAGACACGGUCCAAACUCCUACGGGAGGCAGCAGUGAGGAAUAUUGGUCAAUGGACGAGAGUCUGAACCAGCCAAAAGUAGCGUGAAGGAUGACUGCCCUAUGGGUUGUAAACUUCUUUUAUAAGGGAAUAAAGUGAGGGACGUGUCCCUUUUUGUAUGUACCUUAUGAAUAAGGAGCGGCUAACUCCGUGCCAGCCGCGGC